rnacentral:misc_RNA from 1 species
GAUGAAGAACGUAGCGAAAUGCGAUAAGUAAUGCGAAUUGCAGAAUUUCCGUGAGUCAUCGAAUCUUUGAACGCACAUUGCGCCCGCCAGUAUUCUGGCGGGCAUGCCUGUCUGAGCGUCAUUUCAACCCUCAUGCCCCUAGGGCGUGGUGUUGGGGAUCGGCCAAAGCCCGCGAGGGACGGCCGGCCCCUAAAUCUAGUGGCGGACCCGUCGUGGCCUCCUCUGCGAAGUAGUGAUAUUCCGCAUCGGAGAGCGAUGAGCCCCUGCCGUUAAACCCCCAACUUUCCAAGGUUGACCUCAGAUCAGGUAGGAAUACCCGCUGAACUUAAGCAUAUCAAUAAGCGGAGGA